GGCGGACGGGUGAGUAACGCGUAGGAAUCUACCGAUUAGUGGGGGAUAGCCCAGGGAAACUUGGAUUAAUACCGCAUACGCCCUACGGGGGAAAGCGGGGGAUCUUCGGACCUCGCGCUAAUCGAUGAGCCUGCGUAAGAUUAGCUUGUUGGUGAGGUAAGAGCUCACCAAGGCGACGAUCUUUAGCUGGUCUGAGAGGAUGAUCAGCCACACUGGGACUGAGACACGGCCCAGACUCCUACGGGAGGCAGCAGUGGGGAAUAUUGGACAAUGGGGGCAACCCUGAUCCAGCCAUGCCGCGUGUGUGAAGAAGGCCUUCGGGUUGUAAAGCACUUUCAGAUGUGAGGAAAGGUGUGUGCUUAAUACGUACAUACUGUGACGUUAGCAUCAGAAGAAGGACCGGCUAACUCCGUGCCAGCAGCCGCGGUAAUACGGAGGGUCCGAGCGUUAAUCGGAAUUACUGGGCGUAAAGCGCGC
rnacentral:rRNA from 1 species